rnacentral:rRNA from 1 species
UACAGAGGUGGCAAGCGUUGUUCGGAAUUACUGGGCGUAAAGGGCGCGUAGGCGGCCUUCUAAGUCAGACGUGAAAUCCCCCGGCUUAACCUGGGAACUGCGUCUGAUACUGGGAGGCUUGAGUAUGGGGGAGGGAUGUAGAAUUCCAGGUGUAGCGGUGAAAUGCGUAGAUAUCUGGAGGAAUACCGGUGGCGAAGGCGGCAUCCUGGACCAUAACUGACGCUGAGGCGCGAAAGCUAGGGGAGCAAACGGG